rnacentral:rRNA from 1 species
AGCGAACGCUGGCGGCAGGCCUAACACAUGCAAGUCGAACGGAUCCUUCGGGAUUAGUGGCGGGCGGGUGAGUAACACGUGGGAACGUGCCCUUUGGUUCGGAACAACUCAGGGAAACUUGAGCUAAUACCGGAUGUGCCCUUCGGGGGAAAGAUUUAUCGCCAUUGGAGCGGCCCGCGUCUGAUUAGCUAGUUGGUGAGGUAACGGCCCACCAAGGCGUCGAUCAGUAGCUGGUCUGAGAGGAUGAUCAGCCACACUGGGACUGAGACACGGCCCAGACUCCUACGGGAGGCAGCAGUGGGGAAUCUUGCGCAAUGGGCGAAAGCCUGACGCAGCCAUGCCGCGUGAAUGAUGAAGGUCUUAGGAUUGUAAAAUUCUUUCAGCGGGGACGAUAAUGACGGUACCCGCAGAAGAAGCUCCGGCUAACUUCGUG